ACAUCGGGGUAGAGGGGGGGUAGUCUUCCCAGAUGUUCUAGUUAGUUGUUUAGUAAAUUUGACUUCAAUAACGAGCUUUUGUUAUGGUAGGCGCGGCAGGGCGCGCGAAUUUAAGCGCAAGUGAGUGGUGACUCGGGGCUCACUCAGGCGGAGGCUAUGCGUCUCACCUGUGGUCACGAGUUGUUAGUUCGUUCGUGAUGUAGGAAUUCAAGCUUUCGGGCGGAGGCUAUGGCCAACGCCAGAGGCCACGAGCCGUUUAAUUCGUAAUGUAGUUUAAGUUAGGUCAUAAUGUAGUCAUCUUCAAGCUUUCGGGCGGAGGCAAUGGCCCUCGUCACUAGUCGUUUAGUUAUAAUUUUUAAAAUGUAAUGUUCGUUCGGGAGUUCAAGGGCAGGAGAGGCCCCUACGUUAGUUUUAAGUAAUCGAUCAAGAAAGGCUUUUCGGAAAAUGUGAGUAUGGACUUAUCUUUGUUUUAAUUUUAAGUAUUAAUUAUGAUUUGAGGUAUUCGGAAGGACUAGGGAAGUGUUUAGUGAAGUUCUCUCAUUCUCUCUCUUGUAAGGUCGUUCAAUCGUUAAGGAAGUAAAGAGAUUAUUGUUUUAAAUUGUAAUCCCGCUAUUUAAAUGUUCUUUAAAAUGAUGUUGAGUAUUUGACUUUAAGAAUAAAAUAAUUUUAAUUAAGUAUUAUGUUAUUUUGCAAAAUCUCCUUAGUUCAGCUCUCACCAGACAUCCUGUACGGGAUGACGAACCUAUGAUCCUAGGUACAGUAAAGUAUUUUAUGAAGUUAAGACUAGUUGAUGCCAAGCGAGUUGUUUCUAUGUAAAGAGCUACGAUUCUCGCCCCCCCCCUCUGAAGGUGGAUCGUGACAGAAAUGGUGGAGGCGCCGGGUAGGUUCUAUUUCUGGAGAGAGAGAGAGGUAGAUUUUUAUGUUUAUUAUUAAGUUAGUUUCAGCUUCUGAUAGCAGGUUAUUAAGAGUUUACUUGAGGAGAGGAUUACGGAAUUUAAUCUAAGUGGAGGAAGUCUUUGAGAUUUUUUUUUGACGUAACAUAUGUUUAUUUGAGUAUACUUGUAAGGAUAAAGUUUAUAGUGAUAAGUUGUUUUAAGUCGUUGAGUUUAUCAGGGAUUUUUACGUGAGGAGAAUACGUUAUAAUUUAAAUGAUUAAUAGAGAUAAUGCAAGUGGUUUAAUUUAAUUGAAAUUAAUUUUAAGAUUGUAGGUUAAGAGAGUUAAAAUUUAAAAUAAAGUUUUUUUCGUAAAUAGGAAUUAUUUUCAAGUGAAGUUUGUUUUGCUGUCGUGCGCGUAGGAGACGAGACGUACGAAUUAAAUCAGUCGAGGGAAGGAUAAACGUUAGAAAGGAAUUAAAGAGAAAACGAGAGUUUAUGUAAAAGAGAGUUAUAGAAUUUAUAGUGAUGUUUUGUUUUAAUUAGAAAAAUGUUGAGAGUUGUUUCAGAACGACACGUCAGUGGACGUGGCAGAGUGAACACGUGACGGGGAGGUGCUGAGACCUAGCGGAGAACGGAGGAACCGCAAGCGAGGGUUGGCGCACCUGAUGGAAUUCGGUGACGUCACGGGCUCAUACGGAGACGUGGACAGGCCGUGACCUUGUUUUGAUCAGCUGUACGGUAACUUAGCGAUAAGAAAAUAGACUAUUGGUUAAAUAAAUUUAAAUUUAAGUGUGUUUUAGGAGAAGAGGAACUUUCAGUAUAUUCCUUAAGAUGAGCUGAGCAGCAGUCCAGUUUACAAGAUGACAAGAGUUCGAGAGACAAGAUACAAGAUCACUGAAACAAGAGCCAAGACUGAAGAUUCAAGAGAAGAGAAAGCUGGCAGCCAUGGACUUACAAGUGGAGAUUAAUAAGGUCAUGUAAAGUUUUAUUUUUUUUUAUGGAAGACAGUAACUGGAGUUUUUUUUUGUUAUAAACAUUAUUUACAGAACUUUUUAGGUUAUAGUAAUGUAAUGGAACUAGUGAGUUGUGGUAGCUGUCAAAAAGAACUAAUACCUUAAGUUUAAUUUUUAAAGUUAAUUUUCUUAAUUUACAGAGGGAUUAGUAGUUUUUUUUAAACCUUAUUUAGGUUGGAAUUUAAAUACACUAGCUUAUUAUAAAUGUGUACGAACAGUUCAAGUUCACAGUACUGAUAGGUAGGUCAGAUGAUCUUAUUGAUUUUGAUGAUUUGUUGUUUUGAGUUGAUUUUUAAGUGUUGUGAAUUAGACAAUGAAAUAGUUCUGAAAACUUAAAUUAUUUCAAGCUAAGAAAUAGUAAAGUUAAUUGUAACUCAAAGGACACCAGAAUUUAAUUUUUUUUGAAUUAGUAAUGUUUGAAAAUUUUAUACUUUACAAGAAAGGUUAUAAACAAACAGAUCGGAUGGAACAAGGAUGCAGUAAAUCACAAUUUCAUUUAGAAUUAUUGAUUAGCUUUUGAGGUUAUGAAGUAAAAGUAAUUAUAGUUUAAAAGUUUGAAUAAAAAAAAAUGUUUUUUUUUUAAUUUGUUUGAAAUAGAAAGUUUAAAAGUUAAUUAGUCAUGAUCUAGGUGGGUGAUGGGGUGGGAAUUGGCCACUCUUUUUCCCUAUAACCUCCCUAACAUGGCCUUCU